UAUCUCUGUAGAGUCUGCAUAUCAUAAGCGGAGGAAAAGAAACUAACUAGGAUUCCCUUAGUAACGGCGAGUGAAGCGGGAAGAGCUCAAAUUUGAAAUCUUCAAGGUUUUACCUUGACGAAUUGUAGUUUAAAGAAGUGUUUUCUGUUGGUGUUUUGGUAAAAGUUCUUUGGAAUAGGACAUCAUAGAGGGUGAGAAUCCCGUAUUUGACCAUUACUUCCAGCGUUGUGAUACACUUUCAAAGAGUCGGAUUGUUUGGGAAUGCAGUCCAAAAUGGGUGGUAAAUUUCAUCUAAAGCUAAAUAUUGGCGAGAGACCGAUAGCGAACAAGUACCGUGAGGGAAAGAUGAAAAGAACUUUGAAAAGAGAGUUAAACAGUACGUGAAAUUGUCAAAAGGGAAGCGUUUGACACCAGUGUUGUUUUCUCGAAAAUCAAUUAAAAAAAGUUGGAUUUUGUAUUGUUAAGACCUUAUCAGCUUACUGUACUCUUUUCUUGCUUUUUUAAUGCACUUUCGUUUAACAAGUCAACAUCAAUUUCUUUUGUUGUAAAAGAGUCAUUGGAAGGUGGCUUUCACUUCGGUGAAAGUGUUUAUAGCCUUUGGCUUCUGCAAUCGGAGAGAUUGAGGUCUGCAGCGUAGAUCCUUCGGGGCUAGAUACGUAGAUGCUAAGUUAUAGUUUUUUAUAGACAACUUGUUGACUAUAAUUAAUCAUGUAGCUUACUCGUUUGCGCUAUUUUACCUACGCUUAGGAUGUUGACGAUCAGCUGAGCGCG
rnacentral:rRNA from 1 species